AUUGAACGCUGGCGGCAGGCCUAACACAUGCAAGUCGAACGGUAACAGGAAGCAGCUUGCUGCUUCGCUGACGAGUGGCGGACGGGUGAGUAAUGUCUGGGAAGCUGCCUGAUGGAGGGGGAUAACUACUGGAAACGGUAGCUAAUACCGCAUAAUGUCGCAAGACCAAAGAGGGGGACCUUCGGGCCUCUUGCCCUCGGAUGUGCCCAGAUGGGAUUAGCUUGUUGGUGGGGUAACGGCUCACCAAGGCGACGAUCCCUAGCUGGUCUGAGAGGAUGACCAGCCACACUGGAACUGAGACACGGUCCAGACUCCUACGGGAGGCAGCAGUGGGGAAUAUUGCACAAUGGGCGCAAGCCGGAUGCAGCCAUGCGGCGUGUAUGAAGAAGGCCUUCGGGUUGUAAAGUACUUUCAGCGGGGAGGAAGGGAGUAAAGUUAAUACCUUUGCUCAUUGACGUUACCCGCAGAAGAAGCACCGGCUAACUCCGUG
rnacentral:rRNA from 1 species